rnacentral:tRNA from 1 species
GGGCGCUUAGCUCAGUCGGUAGAGCAUCUGACUUUUAAUCAGAGGGUCGCAGGUUCGAACCCUGCAGCGCCCACCA